rnacentral:rRNA from 1 species
AUUGAACGCUGGCGGCAGGCCUAACACAUGCAAGUCGAACGAGUGGCGGACGGGUGAGUAAUAUCUGUGAAACUGCCCGAUGGAGGGGGAUAACUACUGGAAACGGUAGCUAAUACCGCAUACCAUCGGAUGUGCCCAACUGGGAUUAGCUUGUAGGUGGGGUAACGGCUCACCUAGGCGACGAGCCCUAGCUGGUCUGCGAGGAUGAUCAGCAACACUGGCACUGAGACACGGACCAGACGCCUACGGGAGGCAGCAGUGGGGAAUAUGGCAAAAGGGGCGCAAGCCUGAUGCAGCCAUGCCGCGUGUAUGAAGAAGGCCUUCGGGUUGCAAAGUACUUUCAGCGGGGAGGCGUUACCCGCAGCAGAAGCACCGGCUAACUCCGUGCCAGCAGCCGCGGUAAUUC